GGGAUGGGGUGGGGAAUGUUGGGAAUUUUGGGAAUGGGGUUGGGAAUGUUGGGAAUUUUGGGAAUGGGGUUGGGAAUGGUGGGGAUGUUGGCAGUUGGGGGAUAAUGGUCAGGCUUUGGCGGGAAGGGGUCCCGGUGUUGGUUCAGGGGUGUUUGUUGGGUUUACAGGAGAAAUUUUGGGUUUUUCAAAGAGUGGAGAGCAGUGGGAAAUGGGAGGGAAAAUCCUAAAGAAAUGCAGUUCUCCAUAUCCCAAAUCCUGCUAUCCAAACCCCACAUCCCAAAUCCUGAUUUCCACAUCCCAAAUCCCAAAUCCUGAUUUCCAAAUCCCAAAUCCUCAUCCCAUGUCCUGUCGUUCCCAGUUUCCUCCCCCACGGUGGGCAAACCCUACAAGUGCAGCUCGUGUGGCCGCAGCUACAAACAGCAGAGCAGCCUGGAGGAGCACAGGGAGCGCUGCCACGGCUUCCUGCAGAGGGAGAGCCCCGCACAGACAGGUGGGUCUGCGAAAAAUCCUGGGAAAAUCCCGUGAAAAUCCCAGAAAAAUCCCAGGGAGGAAAAGUCCUGGGAAAAUUCUGGGAAAAUCCCAGAGAAAUCCUGAGAAAAUCCUGAGAAAAUCCUGGAAAAAUCCCAUGGAAAUCCCACAAAAAUCUCAGGGAAAAAUCACAGAGAAAUAAUGGAAAAAUCCAAGGAAAAUCCCAGAGAAAUAAUGGAAAAAUCACAGAAAAAUCCUGGGAAAAUCCUGAAGAAAUCCCAGGAAAAUCCUGAAGAAAUCCCAAAGAAAUCCCAUGAAAAUCCCGGAUCCUGAAUCCCCAGGGACAGGAAAUGGGGUGGGAAUGGGACAUUGGGAUCCCAAAUCCACGGAUAAAGGAACCUCCAAUGGAAAACCCUGCACAGACAGGUGGGUCUGGAAAUGCUGGAAAAAUCACGGAAAAAUCCUGAAGAAAUCCUGGGAAAAUCCCAGGAAAAUCCUGAAGAAAUCUCAGGAAAAUCCCAGGAAAAUCCUAAAAAAAUCCUGGGAAAAUCCUGAAGAAAUCCUGGGAAAAUCCCAGGAAAAUCCUGAAGAAAUCCAGGGAAAAUCCCGGGAAAAUCCUAAAAAAAUCCUGGGAAAAUCCUGAAGAAAUCCUGGGAAAAUCCCAGAUCCAUGGAAAAGGUUUGGGACUGAGGGAAUGUGAUCCCAAAUCCAUGGAAAUGUUUGGGAAGUGUUGGGAUUGUGCUCCCAAUGUGAGUCCAUGCCCCCACAGCUGACCCCAAAUCCCUGAUCCCAAACCCCC
rnacentral:lncRNA from 1 species